CUCGCAAUUGCAUUUGAAUCUGGCAGACUAGAGUACUGUAGAGCCGGCUAGAAUUACAGCUGUAGCGGUGAAUUGCGUAGAGAUCUGAAGCAAUACCGGUGGCGAAGCCGGCCGCCUGGACAGAUACUGACACUCAGAUGCGAUAGCGUGGGGAGCAAACAGGAUUAGAUACCCUGGUAGUCCACGCCGUAAUCGAUGUCUACUUGAUGGUUGUGGCCUUGAGCCGUGGCUAUCGCAGCUAACGCGUAAUGUAUACCGGCUGCGGAGUACGGUCGCAU
rnacentral:rRNA from 1 species